rnacentral:rRNA from 1 species
GACGAACGCUUGGCGGCAGGUUUCACUCAUGCAAGUCGCACGAGAACGUUCUGGCUAUUGCCAGUACAAGUACAGUGGCGGACGGGUGCGUAUCGCGUAGAUAACCUGCCCUCACGCGCGGGACAAUCACGGGAAACCGUGGCUAAUACCAUCACGUCGUCUGGACCCCUCAUGGGGACCAGAUGAAAGCUCUUUCGGGCGCCUUUGGAUGGGUCUGCGUUGUGAUUAGCUUGUUGGUGAACUAAAAGCUCACCAUGGCAACUAUCCAUACCUGGUCUGACAGGACGAUCACCCACACUGGGACUGAGACACGGCCCAAACUCCUACCGGAGGCACCACUGGGGAAUCUUGCACAAUGGGGUCACCCCUGACGCAUCCAUGCCUCGUGGAGGAAGACACCCCUAUGGCGCGUAAACUCCUUUUCUGAAUGAACAAACCCCUGUAGCUUCAGGGCGCGACGGUAUUUCACGAAUAAGCGCCCGCUAACUCCGUGCCAUCUCCCGCGCUAAUACCGAGGGUGCAAGCGUUGUCCGGAAUCACUGGGUGUAAACGGUGUGCACGCGGGGCAGCAAGUCGGAUGUGAAACCCCAUGGCUUAACCAUGGAGGUGCAUUCGAAAUUGUUGCUCUUGAGUCCAGGAGAGGCUGUCGGAAUUCGUGGUGUAGCGGUGAAAUGCGUAGAUAUCACGAGGAACACCAGAGGCGAAAGCGGACGGCUGGACGGGUACUGACGCUCAGGCACGAAAGCGUGGGGAGCAAACAGGAUUAGAUACCGUGGUAGUCCACGCAGUAAACGAUGAAUGCUGGCCGUUGCCUAGUUAGGGGGCAGUGGCUAAGAUAACGCGUUAAGCAUUCCACAUGGGGAGUACGAUCGCAAGGUUGAAACUCAAAGGAAUUGACGGGGGCCCGCACAAGCGGUGGAGCAUGUGGCUCAAUUCGAUGCAACGCGAAGAACCUUACAUAGGCUCGAACGCUAAAGGACCGCUCGUGAAAGGGAGCUUCCCCUUUGGGGCCUUUAGCGAGGUACUGCAUGGCUGUCGUCAGCUAGUGUCGUGAGAUGUUGGGUUAAGUCCCGCAACGAGAGUAACCCCUGUUGCUAGUUACCAGAGGGUAAUGCCGGGGACUCUAGCGAAACUGCUUGCGCAAGCAGUGAGGAAGGUGGGGAUGUACGUCAAGUCAUCAUGGUCCUUACGCAUAGGGCUGCAAACGUGGUACAAUGGCCGGUACAACGAGCAGCCACCUUGCAAGAAGGAGGGAAUAUCUGAAAACCGGUCCCUGAUCGGAUUGGAGUAUGCGAACUCGACUCCGUGAAGCAGGAAUCGUUAGUAAUCGGGGAAUCAGCGAUGCCGAGGUGAAUCCGUUCCCGGGCAUGGUACAACACCGCCAGUCAAAGCCGUUGGAAGAUGAGAGCGCCCCAAAGUUCCGUGCCCCAGCGCUUUGGUAGGAAGCGGCACGAGAGGUGCGCGCAGUGACGUGGUGCG